GGCGCGCAGCCGCCACGGGCACCCCGACAGCCUCAGGCUGCCACCUACACGUGGCGCCUCUAGGAUUUCCUGACGGACUUAUUUUAAAAAUAUUUACUUUCUGGCAAAAAAAAAAAAAAAAAAAAAAUAGCUACAGUAGUUUAGAAGCUUGGCCAGCCCUGAAGAAAAGCACGCUGCAAGACGCGUCCCUGCCGGCAUAUUUCCGACUUCCCCAACUUCUACCUCGCCCACUGCUAGCGACGCUCCAGACGCAGCGUUGGCCGCUUGGGGACCUGCACACACGACCUGGCACGCGGAUUCAGGAUCACUUAACACACUGGUGUUAAGUCCAUGCUUGCUGCAAAAGGAGAUCAUUGUAUGUCCUGACCCUGAAAGCAAGGUUGCUCAUGAUGCAGGGUUUGGGGAAGAAAUCUUCAUCAUUCACAGCUGAUGCAAACUGAGAGCGCCAGAACUGUUUAGGUAUGUGACCCAAAUUUCCUGUUCAGCCAGAAGUGGCACCCUGAGUGGAACAGAAGAAUCCAGUAGACUCGCUGACAUAUAAACAGUGGACGAUAUGUGUUUUUGCUGUCUCUUGUCAACAUAUCCUGGGCAUGAAUUUUGUUCCUAACCUGUCCUGAGAACACCAACUUAUGACGUCUAUGGGGAAGUCCUGUGAAAUUCCUUGAAGAGCCCCUAACCAUUGGAAAGAAAAUAUUCAAUGAAAACAUUUGCUAAAGGCACCAUUCUACUGAGAAAUCAGCAGAAGACCUUUGUAAAAACAUGAAGGUUGGCAUACUCCUGGAAGGAAGGAAGACUUUGAACCAUGAAACACACACUGAUCAUGAAGUUGGUAAUAUCACUGGAACUCAUUACAGACCAUACCCAGGUUAUUUUUCUUCUGUGUAUUAAUGAGAGGAGUUCAGGAUGCUGAGCUUUGUUUAUGGAAGAAAUUGGCGUCUGUGAAGCAGAGUAAACACAAAUGUGUUAAAAGCAUUCCAAGGAGAUGAAGACAUCUGCCUUGUAUUUUCACAUUGCUGAAGAAAAGUUAAGGACAGGAAGAACAAAAAGGAAGAAAACAAUGUUUCAAGUAGAAUUCAAGCCAGAUUCAACUCACUUUGAAUCUAGAGCAGAAGUUAGUGUGCUUUUCUUGUGACCCAAACCUACCUCGGAGCCUGUUUUCAUAUGAACUGUGUCUCUUUAAAUCUACGGAGGACAAUAUUCCUUCUGGCCCACAGGAUGCCAAAAUGACUUGAUGAUUUAUUUAUGCAGCGCUUGGCAGCCCAUAGUCCAGAUUGUGGCUGAAGCUGAAUUUUAUGAGCCUUCCCCUACAGUUUAUCUGGUCAUUCAACAACUGUUUAUUGGGCUUCUUACCGUGUACCCGGAAGUAUUCCAGACUCAGGGGACUGCGAGGAGCAGAGAGACACUGUCACAUCGCUCCAGGAGCAGACAUUUCAGAGGAGGCAGAUGGAUGACAAACAGGACUAUGCACUUGGUCCCCUGAAGCCUGGAAGAGGUGGACCUACUUGUCCAGGAACUGCCCGAAGAUGCUGUAGCUGAAGCCAGGUGGAGAGAGAGAGAGAGAGAGAGAGGCCUUCCAUCUGCUGGUUCACUCCCCAGAUGGCCACAACAGCCAGAGCUGGACCUAUCCGAAGCCAGGAGCCAGGAGCUUCUUCUGGGUCUCAAACAGCUGGAUCCUGAAAGAUCCAGGUUGGUUGAAGACUGCUGGUGAGUGUGCAGCUUUGUCCAACGAUUACCUAAUGCAUGUGUGUCAUCUGCUUUCCCUGUUGUGAGAAAACACACUGAGGAAAUGUGUAAGUCCACUGAAUUGUUCCCAACUCUUUAUUCACCUUUCAGCAUGCUAGUUCCUUCCCUUGGCGUUGAUAUCAUUAUGCAUUUGUCAAAGAUAGACUGUCACUUUAGGGCCUCUAUUAUGUGCAAGAAUUGGCAGCAAAUUUUGCCACUGGGAUUUGCUUAUAUCCUCUGUAUGUUAUUGUGCUUCUUUGGCAUUCAGUAAAUUCCAUACACCCACUUCUUUGAUGUUCAUUCCAACCCCUAAAUGUGGAAACAAUGACUGAAAUUUUGGAUCAAAGCGCUGUGUGGAUGGCAGGCAACCCAGCACUCUGAUAAUUCACUGGAACAGAGAGCGCCUCCCUCCCCCUGAAAAUCUAGGCCAAUGGCCCUCCAAGAACAGCGUGGCUUCCCUAUGCAAAGUCACGACAGGAAGUAAAGAAAACAACUCCAAGGUUUUAGUUUAAAAAAAAAAAAGGAAAGGAAAGAAAGAAAAGAGACUCAACUGGAUGGCGCUAUUGAAGCUCAUGGUCAUUUCUAAGUAUAGAGAAAGCUAACUACCGUUCCAGUUGGUUUCCCCAUUUCCUCUCCCCACCCCCACCCCACUGGCCAUGCUCCCGUUAGCACUCGAACUGGGCCAGGCCUUUCCAGAUUUGGAACAGUCUCCAGAUCUAAUAAUGUGUAACGUCAGCUGCACAAGAUGGCCCAGAUUUUUCAAAUGGAUUUCUUAAGGAAGAAGGAAAGGGUCCAGGAAUGAGGAAUUUUUAAAAAGGAAUUGGAAAAAAAAUCAGAACCACCACAGUUUUAGUUAGUAACUUUCACAAACUGGAAUUAGCUGUCUGGAGUGUACUUCCGAUGUUUGCUUUUGCUUUACUCCUGGGAUGCUAGUGCAAAUAAUUACUUCAUUCAAUUUAUUUCACAGGUCAACUUUGACUCAUAAAAGCAUUAAAACAGGUAACCCCCAGGGGAUGCUGGGAAGACAGAUGAGCAAAUAGAUAUGAAACUGUUGUGAGCAGUUUGGGGGUAGGCCACUUUAUAAAUCCAGGGUAUUUUAUGAUUAUGCCUCCACUUCACCCCAUCUGAUAUCCAGAAUGUGCUAGUUAUAAUUAAUAUGCAGUGUAGCGAACUGUUUUAAAAAUACUGCAGUCCUUUUAAGUGUAGUGAAGAAAAUAAUUGUGUUUGGGGGAAUCUCAUCCAGGGGAAAUUAGAAGAAUUCCCAAUAGAGGGGCAUAAUUGAGACGUGGGAUGGCUGCUCCUGUUCAGUCCAAAGGUAGAGCACAAGGAGGUAACUGACAGCUCUUAAAAUGCCAGUUUCAGAUUCUCGCUACAUGGGAAAUGUUUCCUGCCACACAUGUGCAACAGUGACAUCCAGUGGUUGCAGAGGUAAUUACAAAUGUAUCUUGCUUGAAAAUAUAAAAUAGUUUUGUAUUAUAAUCAAAUCUUCCUUGUUGGCCAGUGUUGGUUUUUAUUCCUCAUCCGGUCAACAACGUAUGUCAGUAACUCGGGCUGUAUGCCAAGUAAAGCCACAUUCUCUCCGUUUUCUUGCUAAAUAGUUUCCGGAGACUGUUCUGUUAGUAUUAUUUACCUGUCUUUUACUUUUACAAAAAUUGCAGUAGUUCUACUCUGAGGGUCUCUCCGAGAGACCCUAAGCACAUGUCCACCAACGUGGCAUCUUUUUAUAAGUGUGAAUGAUAGGGUGCAGCCACCGCCCUGCCCAGCAGGCAUAGAAACUGCACUUCCCCUCUGAAGUACGCAGGGGGGGUCAUCUGCGAUUGCGCACAUUUUCCUGGUUGUAGAAUUGCUUAAAGUAUUCAUCGGAUUUUCUUUCCAGGUCAUUGAAGAUGAUGAGAACGAAGAGGAAAGAAAAAAUAAAGGAGAGAAAGGAGAAGAGGAAGGAAGGGAAGGAAGAGGAGAGGAGAGGCAGAGAGGGAGAAGAAAAGAAGUAAGGGAGGAGGGGAGGAAGAAGGGAGAAGGAAGAGAGAGAGAGCGGGAGGAAGGAGAAGGGAGAACAGGACUACUCAUUGAUCUUCAUUUUGGCAAUAAGACCACAGAUAUCAGCCUCCAAAAAGUGUUCUUUUAUCUAACUGCACUCCUUCCACUACCAGGCAAUGAACUAAGACCAAAAAAAUUUUUUUUUUCAUUAAAAAAAAAAAAAAAACGCAAAAGAGUCUUGUUUGCUGCAAAAAACCUUGAGUAGUGCCACUGUAAGAUGCUUCAGAAGUGCUGCGUCUUCUGUCAGGGCCAAGCCUGGGAAGGCAGAUCAGCCUGCCUGUGGUUCUCGUUCACGGCAGGCAGAGCACCGGGUGGCUGCUUAGGGACGGCACUCACUCACAGCAUCCCCUGAGGAGCUAUUUCUCACUCUCAGACUCCGUAUGUGGUGGAGGGCUUUUCUCCUCAGUUCCUCUGUCUCUCUAACAAGUUCUGCAGGCGGGAAGAACUGAGAGACAUCAAAUUGCACUUUCUCCUUGCUAAAGUAGAAAAAGCAAAAAAAAAAAAAAAUCUACCAAAUUCCAAUAGAAAACAGUAACAUAGACAUACAAUUGUUGAAGGCUCCGAAUGCCUUUUAGCUAGUAAACCUUAUCCUCACUAUGCCCCAAAGAAGAAAACCAUCACAGAAAACGUGUUCAAUGGACGAAGUGUGUGUGUGUGUGUGUGUGUGUGUGCGUGCGCGUGCACGUGUGCAACCUAUGAUUUGCAUUAAAGAGUCAGGACACAGAGAAGGAGAUGGUCUCCUUUCACGCUGGGAAAUGGUUCCCAUUUGUGUCAGUGAGAGUUAGGGGCGAGGCGCAUUGAGACAGAGCAGGUGAGUCCACAGCCUUGAACCAGGUCGGUUUGCUUUCAUAAGGGCUUUGAACUGCGAGUGCUGGAUUCUGGAGAUUCUGCAGAGCAGGGAUGCCGCCCUCGGUCCAUCUUCCCUGGACCAUGCCUCUGCCUCCUGGCUUCUCUUUGUCGCUUUGGUAGCAGGAUCUCAUCGGGAAUAUACGGAAGAUUAGCAGGCUUGGGUCUUGCCCCUCCUUUUAAUUCUGCAGGAGCCUGGCUCGGCUGGCUCUUAUCUUCUGCACCCUGGAACCCUGGCUGGAUGAUUUCUGGAGUUGAGCCAGAGCCCCGUGCAGAGUGAGAAUUGAGCCUUCCCUUAACAGUGUAGGGGGCCUCCUCCCCCAACACCGCCACCCACGGCCACCGCACUACCAGCUCCUGCCAGUCUGAGGAGCAAGAGGCUGGCAUAAAGAAUCAGUUCCCUUCCUUCCUCCUUAAAGAAAAAAAAAAAAGGGCCUGCCUUGCAAAGUCCCUUCACUGUUUCAGAGCAGGGGAAAAAAAAAAGCAGUUGCACAACACGCACUCUUCUCCUGGUGUAUAGCUCCCGGGUAUCAUUUUACUACAAUAUAUAAUCUAAUAAUCCAUUUAAUUUCUUUAGAGAGAUGUUAUAUAUACAGGUGGCAUUUGGAUGGAAUCACAUGCCAUAAACCUGUCUGCUCCUAUCCGGGUGCAGAAUGCAGAGGAAGAAUCUAUUUUACAGGCCUUCUCGAAUUUUUACAUGGUCAAUUGGCUGGUUUUUGUAUUCUGGAACGUAUCAGAGCAUCUGCAGGAAAAAAAAAAUAUAUACAUAUAAAUUCUAUAAAACGGUGGCAGGAUUUCUGAUUUACCGAGAGUGCUUGUUUGAAUUUUCACAAAAAUACUUAGCUAUAUAGGACAAUGUAUUAGGCGUAUUCUUAAAGGUAAAUAACUGCAACCAAUAAAAGUUUGGCCCAUAAAGGGUCCCAUCUUCUACUAGUUUUCUGCACCGAGAAUUACUACCAGUAUAAUCACGGCUCCCUGCACACUAAUAUUUCCUCUGAUACAGUAUGAUCAAUGUUGUGGAAAAACAUUUAUUAUAUUUCUUCUAGCUACUUAAAGGCAUUACUGAAUUAUGGGCAUCGCAAAACGAAUCCACUGUGCAUUUUUUCUUUAUGUGACGUUUUUACAAUCUUCAUUUUCUGCUUUGCAGCCACUGAGCUAUAGAGAUCCACACUUCGUCCCUCUCACAGCUGCCACUGCGGCCACCCUCUCCUUUCUGCUUUAUUACAUCGGAAACGCACUUCAUAUGAUAACCUUCCUUUUCAUUCUGCACCGGCCUCUUAUUAGAAGGGAAGAACUUAGGCAAGAAAUUAAACACUCAGUGUGGUUAAUAACAGUUGCUCGUCUCCUUAGCUAAUAAAGCUGGUGAAGUUUAGACUGAGAUAACGGACAAGGGGCGGGGAUAGCAUUUCACAGACUUAUUCCAGGAUGGCGGAUGGGCUCCGACUGGGCGUGAGCUUUGCAGUUUUGACAUUUAGCGAGUUUAUUAACAUCUGUGCUUCUGAGGCACCUCGCCCACAGGGUCUGCAGCUGGGAGAGAGUGCGUCCAGCCAAUGGCCCGUGUCUCGGCCCCUGCCAGGGGAUGAAUCAAUUAGCAAGGGAAGCAGUGAUGCAAAUGUGCUGGGGUCACAUGGGAUGCUGUUUGCCUUUCUGACAGAGAAAGCGUGCCAUAAAUAACAUCACACCUCAGGAAGCCAUUCCCGGAGGCCCCGAUGCCAGCGGGGCUGCUGUUGGGGACGGAAGGAAUCGGAAUCGUUGGCUCAUUGUGCAUACUUCCCCCAUCUCAGUCAAUGGGAGAUUUGUAGUAAAAUCAAAGUAUUUAAAAGGAGGACAGUGUGUGGUAACAGAGGCAUGUUCAGUCAUCUUUUAGUACCACAACCCAUGAUUUAUGACCCAGAGUUACAGCCAACUUUAUUACAAAAAUGACUUCACCUAUAAUAACCUUCUGCAGGGCUCUCUGGAGAAUGAGGUAGUGGCCCACAGCAUUAGAAUCUGGCAAGUAUGCACAAACAAUUCCUGCCUCUGUCUCAUGUCCCCCACGCCCACCCCCAGAGAAGGCUUCCCCCCACACCUGCUGGGAGAACUGGGUUUCUCAGCAAGGUGUUGUGCUUUUGGUGGGAGGAUUUGCCUGCAUCAGGUGUUUGUAGGAACUCAGGGAGCUGCCUCCUGGCUCCCAGGAGUGCCUCCCCCUCCCUCACCCGGUGCCCUGAGGAAUAAGGAGCAGAGGAUGCCCACUCGCCCUUCACUUCCUUCUCUGUGCUCCCCCCACGAUGUUCACCACUUGAGAUCACUGAGCGCACCCCCCUCAUCCUUAUAAUUGCCAUGGGAACCGACAGCUGCACUAAAACUGCCAGGGCUGGGUGUCCAAGCAGGGUCCCCUGGGCGUCCCAGGAUCUAGGAACUGGCCCUCCGUCUUGUUAAACUCUCGUGUCAGUUCCUAGCGAUUGUUUUAAAUUUACAUCCUCAGAGUGGCUUAGUGGGAUUACGUGUCCAUUUGCAUUAAAACAGGUUUCUGUCAUUAAACUGCCAUACAAUAAGCUUCCUUGGGACAAAUUAAUGAGCUCUAAAUAUCAUCAAGUAGAAGUUCACUUCACCACGACAGCCAACAAGCAGGGGCCGAAGGCAGCAGCUGCCUCGAAUCUUAGCCCAGGAGAACUGUAAGUGCCAACCAGAGAAAGGGCUUGGGCUGCUUCUGAGCUGCAAGGUGAGUGUUCCUGGUUUACAGCUGCUGGGGGGCUGUUGGUGACACUCGAGCCACUCACCCACAACCUUGCAGCCCACCUCCUCCUCUUCCUAUUCCAAAUAUACCUUCGGCCUUGACCUUGUCUGCAGAAGUGAACUGAUGAGCCGGUGGCCUCUUUCCUCUGAGACAGUGUCUCAGCCUCAUUGGCUUUGCCCUGUGAUUUGUCUGUGCUCGAGGAGCUUGUCUGUUUCUCUGUAGCUAGCGGGCAACGUGCAGGCGGCACAGCCCCACUUGUAGCUUGCAUGAGGUGCCCCUGACUCUCACAUGCCUGUAGGACGGGUUCUGGGCCAUCUGGCCUGUUACUUGUGGGCCUAGAGCCUGAAAUGCUAGCUAGUCUUGUUAAAGAACACAUUUCCUAGUCAUCCAGGAGCCGACUAGGAACAGGGGACAGUUUGUAUUGGCAAUGCUUGCCCUGACAAAUACAUACAUGUCUCGAAGUAGAAAUUUUUCACCAAAAGCAAAUAAAUAAUCCCUUACCCUUGUCUUAUGUCAAAGAGGUAAAACUGGCUGCUUGUCAGACUUCCUGGUCUACAUAGGCUGUGAUCUCAUUUCUGUGUAGCCUUAAUGGGGACAGCGAUGUAUGAUGGAGACACUGCUGUAUUUAGGAAUGACAAGAUGGGCAUUAUUAAUAGCUUAAUUGACAUUAAGGCAAUUACCCCUACCCUUAUUACAGUUUGUAGAAUUACACAGAAAAUAUUGGCUGAGGCCUUUUUUUCCCUAGAGCUACCCAAGGAUACAGCAUUUUAUUUCAUGCCAGAUCCCAGCUUUGACAUUAGAUACUUAGCCAUAGAAUGAUUCCAGUAAAUCAUUAUAAAUGCAUUAUAAUAAAGAUGUUAUGAGCUAUCAGAUAUUAACCCCCAACCCCUAAAGAGAGAUAAAUAGUCCAGUCGCAUGAUUCCCACUUUUGUUUCAUAAGAAAUAAGCUUUUGCAAAGAGCAACUGACUAAUGAAUUAUAAAAUGGUGUGUUGAGCUCAGAUAAUUAAACAAUGCAUUUUAGUGUCUGGUGCAGGAUGAACACUAAAUCAUACACAAAUAAAAAAAGGAAAAAACCAAAACCCCAAGCCCAACUCGUAUUUUCAAAUAGCAUUGAGUUUGGUCUGCAGUCCAGAAAUGCUUCACCUCUCUUCUUAUCUGAUUAGAAAGGUAUAUCAGAUACAAGAUCAGGAUGCAGAAGAAGGUAAACCAAACCAAAAGUCAGAACAGGAGUUCUGGAGGUGCUAAUUUCAGAUAAGCCUACAUGGUUAUUUUAAUGGAGAUUUUACAAAGAGAUUCCAUUUUCCCUACAACAUGUCCAUGGGGCAAAAGUCUAGAAGAACCUGGAAGAUUCCAAGUGUCCUUAUAUUGUCCAACUUUUGUAUUUUGUCUCUGAAUGCAAAGUAACGUGUAUUAGUGAGGUCAGCGGAGAAGGGUGAAAAUUAGGAUAUUGAUGGUGAUCUUGGCCUUGCAGCGUCAGAAGGCAAAUGCAUGCUCUAAACUCUUCCCCAUGCUGGGGAGGUGGAAGGGUGGGGAGGGAGGCUGGGUUCCCCAACAGGGCUCCACCUACUGAUCAGUGUUGGGUCUCCAUGCCCUUUUCUGCCAAGGCCCCCAUGCAGGGCUGGUUUGCCAUCGGCUGCCGUUCCUGGCUUGGUACUGAUUUGCUCCGUGGUUUGAAGCUGUGCUCCAGCGUGUCUGGAAUAUGUGUUUUCAUCUUCCAGCCUCUCAAAGACUUCCUUGAGCCAGUCUCCUGUUUCUUGGUCAAACAACACACCAUCCAGGACUGUGUGGCCCAAACUAGCCUCUGUGUGGUCAUGAUCACCUGUGCCAAACAAGGCUUCCCUGGGGCACUUGAUACACAACACACCCCUUGACCAGUCCUCUCUUAUGCUCCAGUCAAGCUGGGCCACACAGCCCAGUCCUCCUUCCACUUCCCCAGUCCCACGUGUCGGACCCUGUAGGUUAGUUGAUCUUUUGAAGGCUUAUUCUCUUCUAAUGUGAAAAGAGGUAAUAAUAAUGCAUAUCCAUAGGGUUGUGUGAACAUUAAAUGAGAUCACUUAUGUAAUGAUCUAGCUACACAAGGUAAGCCCACAAUUUAAUUUUAUCUAAUUUUAGUUAUCUUAUAUUUUUUCCUAUCCUGAAUCUCUUCUCUCCACUCUUUUGUUUUUAUUAAUAUUUAUGUAUUACAGAAACAGAAAGAAAGAAAGAUAUACAAACACAGAGCUCCCUUCAACAGAUUCAGUCUCCAAAUACUCGCAAUGGCUGGGUUUUCUCGUGUCUUGAUCUUAUAUUUGAUAUAGGCCAGGAUCCAGGAAAACAAUCGAGGCCUCCCAUGUGUAUAGCAGAAACACAAUUAUUUGAACUAUUACUGUUUCCUCCUAGGGUGGGAAAUGGAAGCCAGAGGCAAGCAUUGAACCCAGGCACUCUAAUGUGGGACACAGGUGUCUCAACCACUAUGCUAAAAGCCUACUCCAAGUCUCUCUCUCCCUCCUCUCUCUCUCCUCCUUCCUUUCCCCUUCUCCCCCCACCACGUCUUCCCUCCUGCUUUCUUCCUCCACUCCUCCCCAUCUUCUUCUACAUCAUUUUCUCUCAUACAUACACGUACAUGCUUACAAAUUCCCAAAGGCAGUCUCAUGUGAACAUGUCUUGCUAUAUCUAGCACAGUGUUUUGCUUGUGGAACACACACAUACAUGCUUGCUACACGGAACAAUAUUAAUAAGUUAAUAACAGUUAAUGUCUUCAACUACUUAGUAUGAGCCAAGCACUAUGCUAUCAACUCCUCAUCUAAUUCUCACAAAUAUAUGAGAUAAGUACUCUUUUAAUCCUCAUAAGACUUAACGAUGUUAUGGUACUUGCCCCAGGCCACACACACUCAGGAAGUGGACAACCCAAAUGCAAGGCCAGAAUCGGCCUGGAUUUUGGAGUCUCCGUUCUUAACCAUUGCUAUGUCAGGCUGAUUUUUCUCAGAUUUUCCCCAUUUCAGACUGAGCCCCAUCGAGGAAACAGUCAUGAGCACACACUCACUUACAGGACAUUGAUUUUGGAGUUCUAAGAAGUCCAGAUGUGUGCAUUACCUCUAGUUUACUGGUGCCCAAAAGUCACUUACUCCCGGGACAUUAUGUAAAGCCAUCCAAAAAGACUGUACUGUUCCAGACGCCAUAAAGUUAGUUGUACUUUGGGAGAAAGUGUCUGUGGUAGAUGAGGGGCUUGGUUAUGUAGUCCUAUUGCUGGCCACAAUGGCUGGAGCUGUCCUGUCAUGCUUGACACCCUGGCUUCCUGGCAGCCUCACCCUGGCUCACUGUCACAGGUGAGGGAUGCCUCCCAGUCUUGGCUCAGAACACUUAUGCUCCCUAAUGACCCAAGACUCACAGACCCCACACAUCCCUUAAUUAAAGAAGUAGGUUAAGAGGUGUAUUUAGGAUUAAGGAUGAAUUAUACUAUUAAUUUAAGAUGGACAUUCUAUUAGAUAACAGGCCAUGCAUGAGUUUAUUAAAAAUGCUGCCUUCAUGAACAAGGAUCCACGGACGAGGUUACCCUGAGGUGGCUGUGUGGCCAAAGGCACCCUCACAGAACUGCAAGUGAAGGAGCUAGGAGUUCAGCCUGCUGCUGCCAAGCGCAGGCUGACUACUUGUUGUACACUUGGCCUUCAACCACAGAAGCCAGACGUUUAGGGCUUUCCACAGUCUUCAUUUCAAGCUUGAUCAUCCCAAGGGCUGUAGUGCACACUACUAGAACAACAAAGAGUCAACCACCUGCCCCUCCCAGGCACACAGAUGCUGUACUCCUUGGCUCCUUUGCAGUUGUGUAGACCAUGUGAUCUGUCCAUGUGUUGUGAGCAGAGCUACUACGUUUCACUUCCCGGCCAACGUGUUUGAUUAUCUGUGGGAGACACUCCAGAUCUCUUUUUCCCUGCAGAAUUGAUCUUGGAAUCAUGAGUUGAGAAAACAGAGUGCUCAAUAUCCUGAAUUCCUGAAUGGGUUGGUGGAGCCGAGUCCUCCACGGCUCAUGUUAGACAUGUAGCAUGAGCAAGAAAUAGACUUUUAUUGGGCUAAACCACUGACAUUUGGAGGUGAUUUCUUAUCUAAAACAAAACCCAACCUGUCCUGACUAAUCCAGGAGCUCUUUGUCCAGAAAAUAGAGCCCUCUUCCAAAUCAUAAACCCUUACCCUUUUUCCAAUACCUUUCUUCACUCAUUAAAUGCCUUGCACAUUUCUUCAUCCUUUUGGUCUACUCAGAAGCCUAAAAUUGCCACAGUGACCUUGAAAUGGGCAGAGUGAUGGUUUGUCAUGUAUCCAUGUAUAAAUGGACUGUGGAACAAAUGAAGGAAACAAGCUUGACCUUUGGAACAUAUCAUGGCAUUAUGUGAUAAUGAAAAAAAAGGAGGAAAAGCAGAGAAAAAGGAGAAACAAUAAAAAGUGAAGAAAUGUAGAAUAGAGAGUAACACAAAAUAUAGGCCAUUUGUCUCAAGUUAGCUGUAGCCAAUGAUUGUAGUCGGCUGCCUGCCCAGAAGACUUCUCUCGGGAUGUCUUUGAUCCUCAAUGGCUGUGCGUGUACAUGCCUGGUAGGAAGGGUGAGGGAUGAGUCUCCUUUAUAUCAUCUUGGAAGUAUGUGUUACUAUAACUGGUCUAUGGCUUUGAAUGGGCAUUCCAUCACACAUUAAAAGGCAAUACAAAAAGUGAGAAGGGAGCUAGAAAUAAAUGAGUUUGAAUAGCUCUUCAUAACCUUUAAAUCCAAGUCCUUGAAAAGAGCCACUGACUAUGAGGUCAGAGCAAUAAUUCUUUGUCCUAGAAACAGGACAUCACUGAUAACCCAGAGCAAUCUAUUUAAGAAACUGUUUCAAAUAAAUUGGUUGGAAAUGUCCUUGUUUACUUUCCCUCCGUCUGGACAGAACUGGGGGUGCAAUCAGUACGGUGGGGCGGUGGGAGGUGAAAGCAGAGGAAUUGGAUAAAAUUUGCUGAAUAUUUUUGCAAAACUUCAGAUAUGGCGAAAAGUACAAUGUAUAGGCAUAAAAAAGGAGAGCUGUGAGUCACUCCACUGCUGAAGCCAACUGGGAACCCCAAGUAGAAUACUCACCAAGUUAUGGAGUAAAUAAUUUUUUUCCUGAAAUAUACAAAAUGUCUGUGGUCACACUGCCCACAUUCAAGUAUACUCAGAGGUAAAAUUGCAAAACUACAGAAGGAAGUUGGUCCCUUCCCCCUGGGGGGAAGUAACUGCAUCUGGGAUCUCCUUUCUGUUGGUUUAUUUGUGCGUGUUUGCUCACAUGCAAAGCUCAGAUGUCCAAUGAGAUGAGAACAGACAACACUGAAUAAACAGAAAUCUAAUCCAUGGAAGAAUAAGAAGGAUGGCUGGCACAUAAAACAGGUAGGAAAAUCACAUCAUAUUUUAGGAGAUCUCUGUGGACCACGUCAAAAAGCAAGAAAAAUGUUGGUCCAUCCUGGUUGCAGGUUUAAACAGAAGGACCAUGCCUUGGCAUCGACAUCUUCCAAAUUCAAAUCCAUCACCUUCCAUCAACCUGUCAUCCCAAGCUACAUUCCUCUCCCAUUUCUUAUCAAAACAACAUUCUUAUUUCCCUGGCUUCUCUUCUAAACUGUGAGUCUCUUUCCUACUUUGCUCUUCAUUCAAACACUUCCCCUUCAAAAUCUUUCCUUCUUAUCUCCUCCUAGCCUGGGCAUAUAUUAGUUGGCCUACCUAUUUCUACAUCAUUGCCUUCCUACUGGACAUAUAAAACAGAAAUAAUGAAAUACUUUUCCAUACUCCAAGGCAGAAAUGAUGACUCUUAUAACAAUGACCUUACAGACUAGAUUUCACAGACAGUUCAGAUUUCAUGUGAUUUUGUUAUCUUUCAAUAAAGUCAAUUCGUAGAAUUCAAUAUAUUUAGGAUAAAGGUUGUAUGAGAUUACCUAUUUUUUUUUCUCUAGCAUUUCUUUUCCCCCUGUGAGUUUCCUCCUCCCUCAUUCAAGCAGAGAGAGAGAUGUCUCUGGUCUUUCAUUCAAGGAAGCACGUGAUAGAUAGCAUUAAACAGAAGGAGAGUUCUCUUCUAGGCUUGCCUAUUUUCAAGGACUGGCUCCUUCGGGAAACAAAGACAGCUCAGAGGCAAAAGGCUUGAGGGAAAACAAAAAUACAAAAUAGACUCUACUCCUUGACCUCCUAUUGUGAAAAAAUCCUCAGCAUUGAUGAAAAGGGAAGAUUGAGAGAUAAUCCAUGGGAACAGAAAAGUUGGUGGGCCUGGGUGCCCAAGAAUAAUGACUUAGGUCCUGCUGGCCAGUUUUAGAUAUAGUGUAUGGGCAAAACCCCCAAAGAAGUGUACAGUAGAGGAGAAGGGACUAAAGGUUGGUAAAUCUGUAUAAUCACUUUGCGGAUUAAUUUGGUACCAUUUGGUAAAAUGGAAAUGGAAACUCAGGAGAAAAAUUUCCACCAGAACAUACAGAGAUUUGCAUAAAAUGUUUAUUGCAUAUUUAUUGCAGCAUUACUUUUUUUUUAAAUUUAUUUGAGAGGUAGAGUUACAGACAGUGAGAGGGAGAGACAGAAAGGUCUUCCUUCCAUUGGUUCACUCCCCAUAUGGCUGCAACGGCCAGAGCUAUGCCAAUCCAAAGCCAGGAGCCAGGUGCUUCUUCCAGGUCUCCCGUGUGGGUGCAGGGACCCAAGGACUUGGGCCAUCCUCCACAGGUGGAGGAAUAACCCACUGCACCAUGGAGCCAUGCCCUCAGCAUUACUUUUAAUGGAAGACUUCAAACAGUCUAACAGUCUAAUAGUAGAAGAGGUAAUAAAUUUGGCAUUGUGUUAAUCACAGAAUGCUGUGUAACAGUGAAAAGAAAUGGUUAAAAAUAGGAAGAAAUUAAAAUGAAAUUUAGAUCUUUGAAUCCAACUAUUUACUAAGGCUUAAGAGUUAAACAUUGGCCGGCGCCGCUGCUAAUCCUCCGCUUGUGGCGCCGGCACCCCGGGUUCUAGUCCCAGUCGGGGCACCGGAUUCUGUCCCGGUUGCUCCUCUUCCAGUCCAGCUCUCUGCUGUGGCCCGGGAGUGCAGUGGAGGAUGGCCCAAGUACUUGGGCCCUGCACCUGCAUGGGAGACCAGGAGAAGCACCUGGCUCCUGGCUUUGGAUCAGUGCGGUGCACCGACCACAGCGCGCUGGCUGCAGCAGCCAUUGAGGGGUGAACCAACGGAAAAGGAAGACCUUUCUCUCUGUCUCUCUCUCUCUCACUGUCCACUCUACCUGUCAAAAAAAAAAAAAGAGUUAAACAUUGUCAUGAACCCCAUGUUAUGUAAUAGUAACAUAUUCAUCCCUGUUUUUAAAAGAUAGUAUGUGUGUAUACACAAAUACAGUGCUUGCAUAGGAAUAUGGCAAAAUGUUAAAAAUUGUGCUUAUUGAACUCUUCCUUAUACUUUUCUGUAUUAUUUGAAAUAUUUUUAAAUGAAAACACAAAAAGUGGUUAAACCGUAAAUGCCUCAUUUUACAGAUGAGAAGGAAUGGGGAGCCUGAAGUUUAAAUGAUUUCUUACCAUCAGGUCAUUAUUUAGACUUUCUAAAUUGGUCUUUGGUCCAUGAUGCCACCCAUAUCACACCCAAGCCUCUUGGUUUAGUUUUCAGUCUCUUUCAAGAAGAUGACAACAGUCCAUCCCCUCCGACCUCCUCAAUUAGCCAGCCCAGAAGAACAAGUGCAGAGGGUAGGCAUUAAUAGUUAAUACAUUGGUUAAGACACUGACAUCCUGGGGCCGGCACUGUGGCAUAGCAGGUAAAGCCUCCGCCUGCAGUGCUGGCAUCCCAUGUGGGUGCCAGUUCGAGUCCUGACUGCUCCACUUCCGAUCCAGCUCUCUGCUAUGGCCUGGGAAAGCAGUAGAAGAUGGCCCAAGUUGCUGGGUUCCUGCACCUGCAUGGGAGACCUGGAAGAAACUGCUGGCUCCUGGCUUUGGAUCGGCGCAACUCCAGCCAUUGCAGCCAAUUGGGGAGUGAACCAGCGGAUGGAAGACUUCCUUCUCUCUCUGUGUAACUCUGACUUUCAAGUAAAACAAAUAAAUCUUAAAAAAAAAAAAGACACCCACAUCCCAUCUCAGAGUGCCUCAGUUUUGUUCACAAACUCCAGCUUCCUGCCAAGGCAAGCCCUGGGAGGCAGCAGUGAAAUGUCAAGUGACGGGGUUCCUGUCACACAUGUGGGAGACCUGGACUGAGCUUCUCAUCUCCAGCUUUGGCCCAGCCCCGGCCACUGCAAGCAUUUGGGUAGUGAAACAGCAGAUAGGAGUCUCUCCCUCAAUGACUUUUUAAAAACAGAAGAGGAGGAAAUGGGAAGAUGCAAAGGAUGAGCCUAUGUUAGCCUUCCUCUUGAGAUGAAGAAGAGGAUCGUAACACAAUGCUCUAUGAACCUCCUAGCUGACCCAGUCCUCCUGUUUCCCUCAUUCGCAAAAGACCUUUUGAUCCUCCCUGAAUCUUCAUUUUUAUUAGAAAAAUUAGGAGUCUGAAUAGAAAGAAGUAUCAUCGGGGCCAGUGCUGUGGCGUAGCGGGUAAAGCUACUGCCACCAGCAGUGCCGGCAUCCCAUAUGGGCUCCAGUUCAAGUCCUGGCUGCUCCACUUCCCACAGCUCUCUGCUGUGGCCUGGGAAAGCAGUGGAAGAUGGUCCAAGUUCUUGGGCCCCUGUACCCACAUGGGAGACCUGGAAGAGGCUCCUGGCCCCUGGCUCCUGGCUUCAGAUUGGCGCAGCUCCAGCCGUUGCAGCCAUCUGGGGAGUGAGCCAGCAGAUGGAAGCUCUCUCUCUCUCUCUCUCUCUCUGCCUCUCUUUCUCUCUGUGUAACUCUGACUUUAAAGUAAAUAAAUAAAUCUUAAAAAAAAAAAAAAAGAAAGAGGUAUCAUCAACCCCGUAAGUUCAAAGUAUUAUCUCUGCAACAAGUCUGUUGGCUAACUGUGGAAUCUAAGCAGUCUUGAAUUCCCAGCUGAAAUCUACACCCAUAAAAUAGUUUUCCCCAGUCUUUUUUCCUGAGUCUUUUUUCUAUACCCUAACAUUUUCUUCUGGUUAUGAUCUAGUGACCAUGCUCGAUCCUUCUUUUCCAGUAUACUGUAUCAUUCUUAAUGUUCCUAUAAAAUUGUGGGAAUGCUCUUCUGCCUGAGCUGUCAAGAUUGGAAUUUCGUGAAACAUUUCAACACUACAUGGCAAUUCACACAUUGUUUUUCCUUAAGGACCAGGAUCCCAAUGUCAGUGAUUUGGCCUUGGCUCCAUCUGAGAGCCGAAGAUGGGAGUGGCAGCCUCCACACCACCAGCACUGACCUCCGGCACGGUCUAGUGGACUGAACAGGAGUGGGAGUCAGGAACUCCACACCGAGUACCAAUUGUGUGGGUGACUUGGGCUGUGGCAUUAGAGGAAGCUGUUCCGCCUCUAGGCUUCUUUUGCAUAGGAUAAGAAAGCUGUCAGCAGAAGAAGUUCUCUGAGGCCGGAUGCUACAGUCAUUAAGAUACCGAGAGCAAAGUCAGCCUCUUCCUCGGCCAGGACUAGGUCACCCUUGGUGUCCUCAGCCACAGCCCAACCAUCAGAGACACGAACGGCUCCAAUUCACUUUGCACAUUUAAAGUAACAUACUUUUUGUAGUUAUUAAUGGUUUAUUCAUGUGAUCACCCAUGAGUGAAGGGCAUUUCCAUCUCCCACAUCUUUAAUGGCAGGUAAUUAAUGAUGUGUUAGAAAUUAACAACAAUUAACCGUGCAUAGGAACAAUGGCAGAAGGUCAGAAACUGAAGACACAGUGUGGAGCUUCUCAGGCAGAAUCUUGCCAUUUCGCAGGGAGACGCCAGGAGAAUGCGUCCUGUGAAAUAUCUUGCCAUUUUAGUCAUUUUUUAAAUGGGGAAAACAUCAACUAUGGCUCUAGUGCAAUGUAACAGUUCAGAUUUCUCUGGUGGGCCAUAAGAAUUAGAAGCCCAGAAUGUCUCCCCUUGGCACAAAUGCAACUUUGUUCCAGAACAUGGGCCCAGACAUAAUCAUUUUUUAGGAUUAAAGUGUUUAACAAGAUUAAAAAUGUUAAUGGGGGAAUAUAAACAAAUACCUGGCGCCUGUGUUAAGCUUGUUGGUUUUGCUAAACAAGCAAAAUAUUAUAUAACAUAUUGUAGUUUUAGCUACAUACGAGUAAUCAUUGCCUAAACUACAGAACAGAUAUGUAAUUUAAUAGUUACAUGAUCAUUUUAAGAAUGUAGUUGAUUCUAGUGGAUUUCUGGAAAUAACCCUUACUUGAAUAUUAUAUAAAUAUACUUACUGUCAUUCCUCAGUAUCUAUGGGGGUUGGUACUAGGAUAGCAAAAUCCAUAGAUUCCAAAGUCCUUUAUAUAAAGUGGGAUAAUAUUUGCAUAUAACGUAAGUCCAUCCCCCAUAUACUUUAAAACAUCUCUUGAUUACUUAUAAUAUCUAAUGUAAAUGCUACACAGAUAUACUUUAUUGUUUAAGGCAUAAAAUGAGAAAAUGUACAUAAAUCCUCAAUACAGACAUAAUUUUUUUCCCAAAAAAUUUUAAAAGAUUUAUGUAUUUAUUUGAAAGGCAGAGUUACAGAGAGACAGAGGCAGAAAGAGAGAGGGAGGUCUUCCAUCCGCUGGUUCACUCCCCAAAUGGCUGCAAUGGCCAGGGCUGCACCUGGAGUCAGGAGUCAGGAGCUUCUUGCUGCAGGGGCCCAAGGACUUGGGCCAUCUUCCACUGCUUUCCCAGGUUAUAACAAAGAGCUGGAUCAGAAGUGGAGCAGCCAGGACUCAAACCGACACCCCUCUGAAAUGCCAGCACUGCAGGUGGUGGCUUUACCUGGUACACCAUAGUGCUGACCCCCCAAAUGUUUUCAAUACAGGGUUGGCUGAAUCCACAGAUGAAGAACCCACAAAUGAAGAGGACCAAUGGUACAUAGAAAUUAUAUAUGUAUAUAUACAUGUUUUGUUUAUAAAUCUCUGCAAGUAUCAUUGCUGUAUAUAUGCAAGUUAAUAAAUAUAUUGUUUUAACAAUUUAUAUACUACAUAAGUGCCAAAGAAUAUUACUACUUAGAGCUAGAUAUCCCAAUCUCACCCUGUGAUUUUUUCCCCCAUUUUUAAAAUUAUUUUAAAAAUUUUUCUUUAAGGUAUACAGAUUUCAUGUAUUUCAUAUAUACAGAUUUAGGAACAUAGUGACACUUCCCACCCUAGCCUCCCUUCUGCCCAUGCUACCGUCCUUCCUCCUCCUUCCUCUCCUAUUCCCUCUCUUAAUAUUUACAGUGAUCUACUUUCAGUCUACUUUAUACUCACAAGAUUAAUCCUACACUAAGAGUUCAACAAAUAGUAAGAAAAAAAAAACACUAUUCCUGAACAGUAGAGACAAGAGCUGCAAAUAAUCAUCGAAUCUCAAAAUGUCAAUUUCACUCCUAUACAUUACAUUUUAGUUACUCUAUUAGUUACCACAGAUCAAGGAAAACAUAUGGUAUUUGUUUUUUGGAGGACUGGCUUAUUUCACUAAGUAUAAUGGUUUUCAGUUGCAUUCAUUUUAUCGCAAAAGACAAGAUUUCAUUCUUUUUAUGGCUGAGCAGUAUUACAAAGGUAUAUAUACCACAAUUUCUUUACCCAAUCAUCAGUUGAAGGACAUCUGGGUUGAUUCCAUAUCUUAACUAUUGUGAACUGAGCUGCAAUAAACAAGGGGUACAGAUCACUCUUUCAUAUGUUGAUUUCAUUUCCCUUGUGUAAAUUCCCAGGAGUGGGAUUGCUGGGUCAUAUUUUCAGCUGUCAUAUUUCUAUACUGUCUUCCACUAUGGCUGUACUAGAUUACAUUCCCUCCAAGAGUGGGGUAGGGUACCAUUUUCCCUACAUCCUGACCAACAUUUAUUGUUAACUGAUUUUUUUAUGACAGCCAUUCUUAUUAGGGUGAGGUGAAACCUCAUUGUGAUUUUUGAUUUGCAUUUCACUGAUCCUGAGCAUUUUUUUCAUGUGUCUAUUUGCCAUUUGAAUUUCCUCUUUUGAAAAACACCUGUUCAAGUCCUUUGCCCUUUUCUUAACUAAAUUGUUUGCUUUGUUGUUGUUGAGUUUCUUUAGCACUUUAUAGAUUCUAGAUUAAUUGUUUAGCAGUUUACAGUUUGCAAAUCUUUUCUCCCAUUCUGUUGGUUACCUCUUCAUUUUGCUGAGUAUUUCUUUUGCAGAGCAGAAGCUUCUCAGCUUGAUAUAAUCCCAUUUGUCUAUUUUGGCUUUGAUUGCCUGUGUUUUUGAUGUCUCUUCCAAAAAGUCUGUGCCUAUGCCAAUGUCUUGCAAAGUUUCCCCAAUGUUCUCCUCCAGUAAUUUGAUGGUAUUAGGUUGUAGAUUUAGAAAUUUGAUCCAUUUUGAGUUGAUUUUCAUUUAAGAUGUAAGGUAGGGGUCUAACAUCAUGCUUCUGCAUGUGGAGAUCCAAUUAUUCCCCAUUUUAAAAAAAUGCUUUUUUAUUUGAAAAUCAGAAUUACAGAAAAAGAGGUAGAGACAGAGCUUCCAUCCACUGGUUCAGUCACCAAAUGGCCACAACAAACAGGGCUGGGCCAGGCCAAAGCCAGGAGUCAGGGGCUUCUUCUGGGUCUCCCCCAUGAGUGCAGGGGCUCAAGGUCUUGGGCCAUCCUCCAUUGCUUUACUGGGCACAUUAGCAGUGAGCUUUAUUUGAAGAGGAGCAGCUGGGACUUGAACCAGCACCCAUAUAGGAUGCCAGCAUCACAGGAGGUGGCUCUACCCACUAUGCCAUAGCACUGGCCCCAUUUUUUCCCAUUUUUAAAUAUGCAACAAGAAAUCCUCAGGUCAAAAUAUCCAGCAUAUCCCAAUGGUGAAAAAAAGUCAGAGAGAGUGAGUCUAAUUAACAAAUUGAUGAUUUAACCAAGGAUAUAUACCAAGGGUAUCCUACUAUAGAGCAGGCCUGGA